GUGCACCAGUCGCGAAACCUCCGCAAUACACGAAAGUGUGACGGGGUUACCCAAAGUGUCCAAAUUUGGACUGUGGUAGGUGAGUAAUGUCCCCUACUAGAAAGGAGAGGGCAAGGCUGGUGCCAGCCGCCGCGGUAAAACCAGCUCUUCAAGUGGUCGGGAUAAUUAUUGGGCUUAAAGUGUCCGUAGCCGGUUUAGUAAGUUCCUGGUAAAAUCGGGUAGCUUAACUAUCUGUAUGCUAGGAAUACUGCUAUACUAGAGGGCGGGAGAGGUCUGAGGUACUACAGGGGUAGGGGUGAAAUCCUGUAAUCCUUGUAGGACCACCAGUGGCGAAGGCGUCAGACUGGAACGCGCCUGACGGUGAGGGACGAAAGCCAGGGGAGCGAACCGGAUUAGAUACCCCCGUAGU
rnacentral:rRNA from 1 species